UACGUAGGGUCCGAGCGUUGUCCGGAAUUAUUGGGCGUAAAGGGCUCGUAGGCGGUCCGUCACGUCGGGAGUGAAAACUCGGAGCUCAACUCCGAGCCUGCUUCCGAUACGGGCAGACUAGAGGUAGGCAGGGGAGAGCGGAACUCCUGGUGUAGCGGUGGAAUGCGCAGAUAUCAGGAAGAACACCGGUGGCGAAGGCGGCUCUCUGGGCCGAUACUGACGCUGAGGAGCGAAAGCGUGGGGAGCGAACAGG
rnacentral:rRNA from 1 species